UACGGGGGGAGCAAGCGUUGUUCGGAUUUACUGGGCGUAAAGGGCGCGUAGGCGGCGCAACAAGUCACUUGUGAAAUCUCCGGGCUUAACCCGGAGCGGCCAAGUGAUACUGUCGUGCUAGAGUGCGGAAGGGGCUACUGGAAUUCUCGGUGUAGCGGUGAAAUGCGUAGAUAUCGGAAGGAACAUCAGUGGCGAAAGCGACUUCCUGGACCAAUACUGACGCUCAUGUGCGAAAGCGUGGGGAGCAAACAGG
rnacentral:rRNA from 1 species